CAAUAGCGUAUAUUAAAGUUGUUGCAGUUAAAAAGCUCGUAGUUGGAUUUGUGGCGUACGGUGUGUUCCGGGCACUUGUUGUCUGAGUAACCUGCUGUUGCCAUCCUUGGGUGGAACCUGUGUGGCUUUAGGUUGUCGUGCAGGGGAUGCCCAUCAUUUACUGUGAAAAAAUUAGAGUGUUCAAAGCAGGCUUAUGCCGUUGAAUAUAUUAGCAUGGAAUAAUGAGAUAGGACUUUUUUGCUAUUUUGUUGGUUUGCGCAAAGAGGUAAUGAUUAAUAGGGACAGUUGGGGGUAUUCGUAUUCCAUUGUCAGAGGUGAAAUUCUUGGAUUUUUGGAAGACGAACUACUGCGAAAGCAUUUACCAAGGAUGUUUUCAUUAA
rnacentral:rRNA from 1 species